rnacentral:rRNA from 1 species
AGCGAACGCUGGCGGCAGGCUUAACACAUGCAAGUCGAGCGCCCCGCCAGGGGAGCGGCAGACGGGUGAGUAACACGUGGGAACGUACCCUUUGUUUCGGAACAACCCAGGGAAACUUGGGCUAAUACCGGAUCCGUCCGUAAGGAGAAAGAUUUAUCGCCAAAGGAUCGGCCCGCGUCUGAUUAGCUAGUUGGUGAGGUAAUGGAUCACCAAGGCUACGAUCAGUAGCUGGUCUGAGAGGAUGAUCAGCCAAAUUGGGACUGAGACACGGCCCAAACUCCUACGGGAGGCAGCCGUGGGGAAUAUUGGACAAUGGGGGCAACCCUGAUCCAGCCAUGCCGCGUGAGUGAUGAAGGCCCUAGGGUUGUAAAGCUCUUUUAGCAGGGAAGAAAAUGACGGUACCUGCAGAAAAAGCCCCGGCUAACUUCGUGCCAGCCGCCGCCGUAA